ensembl:lncRNA
CUCUGGGAGGCGGGGUCUCUCCCACCUCCGCCCGGGGUCUGGUCGGACAGGCCUCCUCGUUCGCUCUCCGUGUCCGGUUACUAUGGCCGGUUCACCACCAUUGAGGCACUUGUCGAGCGAGCUUUGUGUCGCUUUAUUUAAUCCUAAGGGAACGUCAGCUCGCCCUAAGAGCAUCCUCCCCAUUUUCCAGGUCAGUAAGUGAUGGCUUAGAGGGGUUCAGCAGCUCCUGCAAGUUUCCAGUUAGUGACGCUGGAGGGGAAGCAAGCCUGCCGGGCGGGUGCCCUCAUCACAGGCCACUGCUGUCACCGCCUCUCUGCGCUUCCUCCUCCAGCCCUCACGGUCACCCCUUGCCACUGUGCAGGUUGUAUGCUGCACAACUCCAGAGUCCACCAAUAUAUAGAACCUCCAGAGCAGUAAAGAGCUUCGAGGAAGGGGCACAAUUUUCUCAUUUGCACAAAGUAGGCUUUGGAGCUGGCCUGUUGUCCCUGCAGCCAUCUCCCCACGUUUCUUCUUCCUCUCUCUGGCACAGAACUUGUUGCUGGCAGAGGAUCUGACCUCUUCCACUCCUUAAGCUCUCACUGCAUCCAAUUUAUGCUGCUAGGGCUUUCUUUCCUGCCAAGGAGCAGCUGAUCUUCAACAUCCAGCAUCCCCCAGACCUGCCACUUCUGAGCUGUAUCAGGACGCCUGCUGCUUCCUGCUGUGUCUGGAGCAGAUUUUGGACCUGGGACUGCAGAGGUGGUCUGAGUGCUGUGGUCACAGCACACUGGUCACUGGCAUAAAAGGCCUUUUUCUUCACCAAGUUCACUUCCUGCUGGACUACCCAGUCCCUGCCUGCAGCCCCCUCUAUGCCUUCAGCCAAGAACCAACCCUGCCUCAACCCUCUGUUGCCAAA